UUGAGAAACUGAGAGCCUUUCCUAAGAUCAUCCAGGUGCAGAAUCACAUAGCUUCCUGUCCUCUUCUAAUCUAGAUCGUAUUCUUUUUGAAUAGGGGUAAAUGAGAGGAAUGGAAGCAUUGUAUGCAGAGAACUGAUAUGUGUGUCUGAAAAUGUGGAAAGAACAAGUAUCAGAUAAACACGUGUCAAAAUCUGAGCAGUUGAGAAACCUGUGCCGGUUAAAAUCAGAGAUGAACUCUCCAAGAUCCUGCUAGCAGCCUGGAAGUUCUUCUAGAGGUUCUCAGUCUCCUAGACACUCAGUUCCUGAAUGCAGCAGCAUCCAAACCCCAGAGAGAGUGGCAUCCAGAAACCACUUGUCGUCAGUGACUACAA
rnacentral:lncRNA from 10 species